rnacentral:rRNA from 1 species
GACGAACGCUGGCGGCGUGCUUAACACAUGCAAGUCGAACGGUAAGGCCCUUCGGGGUACACGAGUGGCGAACGGGUGAGUAACACGUGGGUGAUCUGCCCUGCACUUCGGGAUAAGCCUGGGAAACUGGGUCUAAUACCGGAUAGGACCACUGCCUGCAUGGGUGGUGGUGGAAAGCUUUUGCGGUGUGGGAUGGGCCCGCGGCCUAUCAGCUUGUUGGUGGGGUGAUGGCCUACCAAGGCGACGACGGGUAGCCGGCCGGAGAGGGUGACCGGCCACACUGGGACUAGGAGACGGCCCAGAUUCCUACGGGGGGCAGCAGUGGGGAAUAUUGCACAAUGGGCGCAAGCCUGAUGCAGCGACGCCGCGUGAGGGAUGACGGCCUUCGGGUUGUAAACCUCUUUCAGCACCGACGAAGCGCAAGUGACGGUAGGUGCAGAAGAAGGACCGGCCAACUACGUGCCAGCCGCCGCGGUAA